rnacentral:rRNA from 1 species
GUCCACGCCCUAAACGAUGUCAACUGGUUGUUGGGGAGUUUAUUUCUCUUAGUAACGAAGCUAACGCGUGAAGUUGACCGCCUGGGGAGGUACGGUCGCAAGAAUUAAAACUACAAAGGAAUUGACGGGGGCCCGGCACAAGCGGUGGAUGAUGUGGAUUAAUUCGAUGCAACGCGAAAAACCUUAACCUACGCUUGACAUGUCCGAGAUCCCCGACGAGAUUGGGGAGGUGCUCGAAAGAGAAUCGGAACACAGGUGCUGCAUGGCUGUCGU